rnacentral:piRNA from 1 species
UCCCUAGCACUUUGGUCCUGAGAAAUCCACU